UACGUAGGUGGCAAGCGUUAUCCGGAUUUAUUGGGCGUAAAGGGAACGCAGGCGGUCUUUUAAGUCUGAUGUGAAAGCCUUCGGCUUAACCGGAGUAGUGCAUUGGAAACUGGGAGACUUGAGUGCAGAAGAGGAGAGUGGAACUCCAUGUGUAGCGGUGAAAUGCGUAGAUAUAUGGAAGAACACCAGUGGCGGAAGCGGCUCUCUGGUCUGUAACUGACGCUGAGGUUCGAAAGCGUGGGUAGCAAACAGG
rnacentral:rRNA from 1 species